UACGAAGGGUGCAAGCGUUAAUCGGAAUUACUGGGCGUAAAGGGUUCGUAGGCGGCUUUUUAAGUCUGUCGUGAAAUCCCCGGGCUCAACCUGGGAAUGGCGAUGGAUACUGGGCAGCUAGAGUGUGUCAGAGGAUGGUGGAAUUCCCGGUGUAGCGGUGAAAUGCGUAGAGAUCGGGAGGAACAUCAGUGGCGAAGGCGGCCAUCUGGGACAACACUGACGCUGAAGAACGAAAGCGUGGGGAGCAAACAGG
rnacentral:rRNA from 1 species